rnacentral:rRNA from 1 species
GACGAGCGCUGGCGGCGUGCUUAACACAUGCAAGUCGAGCGGUAAGCCUUUCGGGGUACACGAGCGGCGAACGGGUGAGUAACACGUGGGUGAUCUGCCUGCACUUCGGGAUAAGCCUGGGAAACUGGGUCUAAUACCGGAUAUGACCUCCUAUGCAUGGUGGGUGGUGGAAAGAUUUAUCGGUGCAGGAUGGGCCCGCGGCUUAUCAGUUUGUGGGUAUGGCUACCAAGGCGACGACGGUACCGACCUGAGAGGGUGACCGGCCACACUGGGAUGGACACGGCCCAGACUCUACGGGAGGCAGCAGUGGGAAUAUUGCACAAUGGGCGAAAGCCUGUGCAGCGACGCCGGUGAGGGAUGACGGCUUUCGGGUUGUAAACCUCUUUACAGCAGGACGAAGCGCAAGUGACGGUACCUGCAGAAGAAGCACCGGCUAACU